UACAGAGGGUGCAAGCGUUAAUCGGAAUUACUGGGCGUAAAGCGUGCGUAGGCGGCUACUUAAGUCGGAUGUGAAAGCCCCUGGCUCAACUGGGGAAGUGCACCCGAAACUGAGUGGCUUGAGUGCGAAAGAGGGUCGCGGAAUUCCCGGUGUAGAGGUGAAAUUCGUAGAUAUCGGGAGGAACACCGGUGGCGAAGGCGGCGACCUGGGUCGACACUGACGCUGAGGCGCGAAAGCGUGGGGAGCAAACAGG
rnacentral:rRNA from 1 species